ensembl:lncRNA
AAUAAAGAUAUAGUAGCAUGUUUAAGUAAGAUUGAUUUUUAGCCUGCACUGAUUUACUCACAAUCUCCUUUUUGUUUGCUUUGUGUUCAUUUUCAGGACUUUUUGUAUUUUUGACCUUUGAAGAUGGAUACACAGCAAAGAUUUUUAAUGUCUGUGAUAUACUAAACAAAGAUGAUAAACCCAUUGCUUGCUUUAGAUAUCUGACACCAGGAGAAGAAGUACUUGCAAGAUGGUCUGACAAUAAGUUCUACAAAGCUACAGUAGACUUCACUGGAACAGCUGACAAAACGGUGGAUACCAAGAAGGCGACAAAGAAGGACAUGAAAAAAAGAGAUGCAGCUGCAAAAAGAUUCUACAACCUUCCAUUCCUACCUCAAGCAGGCCAGUCCACCUCUGCACAGGAUCACCUAAAUACUGUGGACCAAAAUGUCAUUCAGCCUCCAACAACCUGGCCAGUGUACCAGCCUCCACCUACAGAGUCAUUUCUACCUGUCCAGCCACAGCACCAGCAUGCAACUGCCUGGCCACAGUACCAACUUCCAGUUUCCCAGUUAUCACCAAAUACGCCACAACAUUACCAGCAUUCACCAGUCCAGUCGCUCAACCAGUAUGGAACUACUCUGUCUCCAAUUCCACACAAUUCCACCCUUUUGCAGUAUUCAAAGCAUCACCAGCCUCACACAGCACUACCCACACCUUCAGACCAAACACAACAGCAGCCUGUUUUGGCAGAUUUGGAUCAGCGAAGACAGCCACCAGCUCCUACAGCCAAAGAAAGCUUCCUCAAAAUGUUGCACAGUCCUAAUACACAUCAAAAACCUGCUGUUCUUGGGGACCAGAGCCAGACAAGCACCUCUGAACAUGAGACUUUAAGCUCAUCUGCAGAUACUUUAAUCAUCGAGCGUGAUCCAAUUCCAGAAUAUGGAGAAGCAUGUUUCAUUUCGCCUGAGUCAGGAGAAGACAGAUCAUGGAAGCCAUGCGAAGCAUGCAAGACAGAGGUGGAAAAAUUAGUGGAGGAAAAGGCCAAACUGCAUGAUGUGCUGUGUGGUAUAAGUGGUGAGCACCUCGAGGCAUUCAGAAGUUUUCUGGACAAAGUGGAACAGAUCCAACCUCAGGCUGGUGUUUGGGCUCCAAAAGGCAGAUCUCGGCAGCAGGAGCUAUAUCCAGGAAGUGGCCUCUUCUUGUCCUCGACUCACCUGGCUGCAAUCCAUGCAACCGCAAAGAAGGACUGCCUUCGCUUGUUCCAUCUUCUUUUUGAUGAAUUCUUUACUGCAGAGGAGUGCCAGAAUGCUGUGGCAUUUGGGAAACACGGAAAGGUGCCAGAUGGGAAGAGAGUCCUGGAUAAGUUCAAAGUCAAUGCAAUUCUAACUUACGUCAUGCGCUGUAGUACACUGGAUGGUUGGACACCGGUUGAGAAAAGUAAGGUCAAAAAAGCCUUCAUAAACAAAUGCCGCAUCAGGGCCACAACACUGUAAAUAUCGGAUGGGGCACACAGAGACAUUUGUUGAAAUGACAAUGUUCACAAAAAGUCCUUGUUUUCAAAUUAUGUAUGUUGGCGUCAGAGACUCAAGUUUAUUGUUGUGAAUUGUUCUAAACCUGGCCUGCCACUGCUCAUAACAUUGUUAAAAUUGUUACUGUUUUAAAAACAGAAUUUUACAAAAAAAAAGCACUUUAGUUCAUAUUUUGUAAUGACUAUGUUUAAACAGUUUUUGCUGUCUUUAAAAUGUCUUUAAAUUUGUUAAUGUUAUUU